rnacentral:rRNA from 1 species
CCUUAGGACGAUAGUCUGACGGAGCACGCCGCGUGAGUGAUGAAGGCUUUCGGGUCGUAAAACUCUGUUGUUAGGGAAGAACAAGUGCUAGUUGAAUAAGCUGGCACCUUGACGGUACCUAACCAGAAAGCCACGGCUAACUACGUGCCAGCAGCCGCGGUAAUACGUAGGUGGCAAGCGUUAUCCGGAAUUAUUGGGCGUAAAGCGCGCGCAGGUGGUUUCUUAAGUCUGAUGUGAAAGCCCACGGCUCAACCGUGGAGGGUCAUUGGAAACUGGGAGACUUGAGUGCAGAAGAGGAAAGUGGAAUUCCAUGUGUAGCGGUGAAAUGCGUAGAGAUAUGGAGGAACACCAGUGGCGAAGGCGACUUUCUGGUCUGUAACUGACACUGAGGCGCGAAAGCGUGGGGAGCAAACAGGAUUAGAUACCCUGGUAGUCCACGCCGUAAACGAUGAGUGCUAAGUGUUAGAGGGUUUCCGCCCUUUAGUGCUGAAGUUAACGCAUUAAGCACUCCGCCUGGGG